GAUGAACGCUAGCGGGAGGCCUAACACAUGCAAGCCGAGCGGUAGAGUUUCUUCGGAAACUUGAGAGCGGCGUACGGGUGCGGAACACGUGUGCAACCUGCCUUUAUCUGGGGGAUAGCCUUUCGAAAGGAAGAUUAAUACCCCAUAAUAUAUUUUACGGCAUCGUAUGAUAUUGAAAACUCCGGUGGAUAAAGAUGGGCACGCGCAAGAUUAGAUAGUUGGUGAGGUAACGGCUCACCAAGUCUACGAUCUUUAGGGGGCCUUAGAGGGUGUUCCCCCACACUGGUACUGAGACACGGACCAGACUCCUACGGGAGGCAGCAGUGAGGAAUAUUGGACAAUGGGUGAGAGCCUGAUCCAGCCAUCCCGCGUGAAGGAUUAAGGUCCUAUGGAUUGUAAACUUCUUUUAUACAGGGAUAAACCUACUUACGUGUAAGUAGCUGAAGGUACUGUAUGAAUAAGCACCGGCUAACUCCGUGCCAGCAGCCGCCGUAAGAC
rnacentral:rRNA from 1 species